ACGACCCCCCUGCAGGCACCGAUUACACCAACUCGACCAUCAGUGUCACAGCCCCAGAAAAAUGAAAAGCCGUAUGUGAAGAAGCCACCCAAUGCUUUCAUGGUGUUUGUGAAGGAACAGAGAGAAAUGAUCAUGAUGCAGAAGAAGGUGUCAAACAAUGCCACGGUGCUCCAGUUUCUGGGAGAGAAAUGGAAAAAUAUGACCAAGGAGGAA